CCCAGCCGUAUCCUCGGACUAUGUCGACUUCCGUAUCGUCGCCCUCCUCCUUGCUGUGGACCCUGAUGAGAACAUACUUGAACACGCCGGAGGGAUCGAUGUCUGCCUGCGGAAUGUUCACCAUGCGGGAGGCCGCCUUCGUUUGGGUGCACAUCUCCGCGGCCACUUGUAUACGUACAGAGACGUGUGUGAGGAUCCAGCAUCCAGAACAAUUCCGUACUACAGGAGCAGAGACCACAGAGUAGUGAUCACAUAAAACUCCCGGUCUGACCUGACCUGCACUCAUGCCCUUCCGCUACGGAUGCUUUGAUGGAUGAUCGAUGGUGAACUGACAGACACGUGACAGGAGGCCGGCUGAGCCCCGCGGACAUGGAUGAGUGGCGCACGGACGCCCUCGUGGGCGGAAAUAUGGAGAUGAGGGCAGAGAGAGGACAGAAAGAAAGAGAAGGAGAGAGAAAAAGAGAGAGAGGCGACAGAGGAGGACGAGGAGAAGGAGUAAACAAGGGAAGAUGUGGCUUCUGGGUCUCCUUACCGUGUCUUUGGAGGACCUACGCCUCUUGAUGCUGGAAGCCAGGGUGGUACUGAUGGACCUAAAAGAGGCUUUCUUUUGGGGGUCGGGCUCUGCUCUACCACUUUUCCUAUCCUAAAAUGAAUAUGUGGAAACAUUAUUGGGCGUUCUACAUGGCCGAGGGGGGGCGAUGACUUUGCUUCUCCUCCUCCCAACUCGCCACAUGAAUUAUCCUCUUAUGCUCUAAGUAGAUGGUGGGGGCGGAAUGUGAAAAGAAGGCGAGCGGAGAAGGUUUCGCUGCAUGAUAUGAGGGGAUAGUCGUCUAAAUUUGAUGCCAGCAUUCGGGCUCCAAAAAAAAACGCAUUAGGAUGAGUGAUGGGUCGUAAAGAUGUAAGUGGACGCGUACAUUCCCUUCAUUCUAUUUCCAAUUCUGAAACGCAAAUCAAAACAUUUAAUUAGGGCCGUUUUUUCGGCAGAUAACCACAAAUUUUAGCAAAUUUUUUUUGCGUUUAUCUGGAAAAAUUCAAAUCCAUAAAAGCAAAACAGCACAGAAUCCAAUUUUAUGGCAAUAUUUUAAUGAAAAUCAACCCCUUUUUUGUUUGUUUUAAAAUCCAUCCAUCCAUCCAUUUCCUACCGCUUGUCCCUUUUGGGCUCGCGGGGGGUGCUGGAGCCUAUCUCAGCUGCAUCCAGGCGGAAGGCGGGGUACACCCUGGACAUGUCGAAAUGGAUGUAUUUUAAAACAAACAAAAAAGGGGUUGAUUUUCAUUCAAGUAUUGCCAUAGCAAUGCGUGCGCACUAGAUACAUGUCUAAAAAAAAUAAAUAAAAAAUUAUAAUUUACAAUUUUUUUUAAAAAAUUAUAUCUUUAUAAAAAGUUUCUCGUGCGCACGAGAUACAUGUCUAAAAAAAAAAAAAAAAUUAAUAAAAAAUUGUAAAAAAAAAAAUCCCCCAUGUCCCUUUAGGGGCUCCGUAGGAGUCCUAUAUAAUAAUAAUAAUAAUAAUAAUAAUAAUAAUAAUAAUACAUUUUAUUUGGUAUAGCGCUUUU